rnacentral:lncRNA from 1 species
UUAAAAGAAUCCAAUUUAUGGAGAGAUUAUUUUAUCCUUAUCACUCAUUAGGCACAACAAGAAAAUGGAGGCUAAACGAAAAUCAAUUUCAUCCACACUUAGACUACUUGAAGUUGGUAAUGAAAAACUUAACUUAGUGUAUGUUCAACCCUACCUUAAGAAAGGAGAAUAUGACAACAAGUACCUUAGCCAUCUUGGCCUUGACUUAUGAGAAUCCUAGUAAG